UUUUGAAAAAAGAAAAAAAGGAAUAACACACUCAAAACCCUAGCCUAGACACCCUAUAAAUAUCGAAUUAUGGACACCCAAAAAUGAGGAGCCGCACCCAUAUUCUGGUCCCAUCUUCUUCGUGACCAUAGUUUCAGAAAAGCUCGCAUCUCCUUCCAGAUUUGAAGGGAUAAACCUCAUCAUCCAUAUGUAGUUGCUGCUAAAAACCAGAAACCACAUCAAUAAACAGCCCCAAAUUCCACUUGUAACACCACCCUAGAACCACUGCUUUAUCUCCGACUUGGUUUUUCGAUCUGAACAGAAGAGAGUUGCAAAGCUGUCCGUCAUCGAGGUUCUUGUUCGAGGUUUCUGAUUCGAGGUUCGCUGUCUGAGUCUUGGUCCAAACUUGCAGAUUCAACGUUGUUGAACGCUCUUUAAGAUGGCAUGAUAAGGCGAUGUGUACCAGAAACAUAAAUGAACAACAUCUUAAGCCACUGCCAUGAUGGAGCUGUUGGAGGACACUAUGGAGGGAGGAGAACAGCAGCUAAAAUACUUGAAGCUGGUUUUUUCUGGCCCACUCUAAUUAGAGAUGCAAGAAAUUAUGUCGCCACUUGUGACAAAUUCCAGAGAAGUGGUAACAUUUCAAAAAGGGACGAAAUGGCUCUUAACUCUAUUCUUGUGUGUGAAAUAUUUGAUGUUUGGGGUAUUGAUUUCAUGGGUCCUUUUCCCCCUUCAAACGGUUGCGAAUAUAUUUUAGUGGCCGUUGACUAUGUGUCAAGGGUAACUCCAAGAAGCAGGAAAUACGUUUCAAAUUCAGAAUCGCGGGUGGAGUUGACAAGCGCUAGAAAAAAAAACAGGGAAGCCCUUUUAUCUCCUUUUACUUUUAAAUUGUGUGUCAUGGGGGACAUGACAUUAUUUAAGUGUGGGGGUGGAGGAAUAUAUUUUGUUCAAAAAAAAAAUAAUAAUAUGCAUUUUCAUUAUUAUUUAACUAAUUGUUUUAAAAAUAUAUGUGUGUGUGGUUUCUUUUUCAUAUUAAAAACAAAAUUGAAAAAAAAAACUGAGUUACUUUAUCCGUAAGGUAACUUAUUUCAUGCACUUCCAUGGAUUUCUUGUUCGGUUCUUUGCCAUGGUGGUAAUAUUUUGAACCGAACACUUUUUAGGAAUUUUAGGUAAUUUCUUUAUUUUGGUGAUAAGCCGGCUAAACUUGGUUUAAUUUGAAAAACAUGAGUCUUCAGAAAGACGAAUUUAACUGAGUACCUUUCAUGAGUUGUACGACUACUUUUCCAAGCUCACACUUGCUUAUUGGUGAUUGGAAUCAUGGUGUUCGAUAGUCCCAAGUGCAUUGUGUGGUCAGUAUAUAUUACCCAGUUCUCAUGUUUAGUCGGAAAUCUAGAACUUGCCUUGAAUGUGGUUUGAGGCGAAAUUCUAGGUAGACUUUGAGUUGAGAAAUAAAAAUAGGCCUUCCUUGUUAAACCACGACCUAAAUUAACCUAUCCUGAUGAUUUUUAUCCCUUGCUAGCCCCGUUGAACCUAAAUGAAUUAUUCCUUAUUUAUUGAUCGCCAAGGCUCAACCCUUAACAUUUUUGUUAUUACGACUUGCUACAUGUUCGCCCUAUUUCCUUUAGGCACUUCAAGAGCUGAUUUGAAUGCAGAAAAUUUAGUGUGAAUGGUGAAAAGAAAAAAAACGUGAAAGGACAAUUGAUUGAGAUUGUUGAUCUUUUGGAGAUGUUGUCUGAGAAAAACAAAAUUGUUGCAAAUUUGAAAAAAAAAAAAGAGGAAAAAAAUGCAACAAAGAGAUGUUGGCAACUCCAUUUUCGAAUGGGAAAUAACAAAUAUUGUGAAAAGAUUGAAAAAGAACAGAGGUUUAUUAUUUAAAAAGAAUUGGAAGGCCAUCGUGUUUGAGCGACAAAAUAAAAGUGUAGUGCCUAUACAGAAUUUAAAU